rnacentral:tRNA from 1 species
GCGACCGUAGCUCAACCAGUUAGAGCAUCAGAGUACCGUUCUGGAUAUGGCAGGUUCAAGUCCCGCCGGCCGUC